rnacentral:lncRNA from 1 species
GGCAUUUACUCAGCUGUUUAUUGCAGUUUCUUAACAAUAAGGGCGGGAAAAUUCAUGACAUUAGCCAAGCUUUAAAUGACAAAAUCGUGAAAAUGGUGCAUAUGUUGAAAAGCGGUGAACUCGGUUUAUGUCCGUUCAAAAUUACCGUUACUUCGCAUUUGUUCCAAAAAUCACUCAACCGUAAAGUUGUCGACAAUUGUCUUAAAAGUCAUUUUCAACCAACUAUACAAAGUUCUAAUAUAAAUAAAAUAAAAAUU